rnacentral:rRNA from 1 species
UAGGGAAUCUUCGGCAAUGGACGAAAGUCUGACCGAGCAACGCCGCGUGAGUGAAGAAGGUUUUCGGAACGUAAAACUCUGUUGUUAGAGAAGAACAAGGACGUUAGUAACUGAACGUCCCCUGACGGUAUCUAACCAGAAAGCCACGGCUAACUACGUGCCAGCAGUCGCGGUAAUACGUAGGUGGCAAGCGUUGUCCGGAUUUAUUGGGCGUAAAGCGAGCGCAGGCGGUUUCUUAAGUCUGAUGUGAAAGCCCCCGGCUCAACCGGGGAGGGUCAUUGGAAACUGGGAGACUUGAGUGCAGAAGAGGAGAGUGGAAUUCCAUGUGUAGCGGUGAAAUGCGUAGGUAUAUGGAGGAACACCAGUGGCGAAGGCGGCCACCUGGACAAAGACUGACGCUCAGGUGCGAAAGCGUGGGGAGCAAACAGG